AUCUUAAUUUGAGGGUUAAACCAGGAUAGUGGGGUGGAGGAACUCAGAGAGGAGGAGAUUUCAGAAGAGGAGUGGCCAAAUCCUAGGGAGUCUGGGUGGGAGGUUAGUGAAUAAGAUUAAGUUACAGCAUUGAGGUCAAUGGUGACUUUAAGAAGAACAAUUUCUGCUGACUACAGAAGGAGGGAAAGAAUGGGAUUAAAAUGGGUUGAAGACUGAAUAGGCGGUAAGGAAGGGGAGACAAUGGGUGUGAGUUGUGCAUUUGAUAAACACACACAGAGGGAAACAGAGACAAUGAGUGGAGAGAAAUGUGGGGGGUAAAGAAAGACUUUCAAUGAAAGGAAAGAGAUCUAAAAGGAACAAAAUUUUUGAGUGAGGAGGAAGAAAUGGAGUGGAGCAAGACACAGCAGAUGGCUUGGCCUGUGGUGGGAGAAGCCUUCACGCUUCACCUAAACAGAAGGAAAGGAGGCGGAGAUGGAGAUGCAAGCACGGUCGCAGUUUUGGAAGAAAAAUGAUGCUCUAUGAUGGACAAUGGACAAUAGACUAAGGGUGGCUUCGUGGCAGUGUCAGAGGAGGCUCUUGGGCAGGUCAGCAAUGCCAAUCCCAACAUCAAGACAACUGCUCUGUCAGAGCGCAGGUGGUAGUCCCAUUGUCUAUAUAUUCUAUUUUAUGAAAAAUAGUAAAUUAUGUUUAUUUUAAAGACAAAAACCUUGCUGGGUUUUUUUUGUUUGUUUGUUUUAGACAAACAAAAUGCAGAGACCAGAUUGAAUCCACUGUUUUCCUGUCCAUUGUUUGCAACAUGAAGUAGAAAAAGAGCCAGCAUGAUCCUGUUUAUUUUGAGCACCAAGAGACUCUAUUCUUCCACAUUCUCUCACUUUUAAUGACAUAUGCAUAUGACGCUAUAAUGUCUUAAAAUGGAAAGAAUAGGAAAAAUGCUGUGUGGUCUCUAUUCCUAACAGCAACACUGUAAAUGAGCUGUGAUCUAGGUGCAUGUUAAUAACAAUACAGAGAUUAGAUAGGAAAUGGGAGAAAUUAUUUAACCAAUAUGCUUUGGGUGGCCUAAGGAGAAGACUGAAAAUGACUUUGUGGCCCAGGCAGAAAAGCAAAAUGGCAGACACAAGAGGGCACAAGGAGGAGUCAUCAAGUUCUCCUUAUAAGGGAUUUUGGUGGCAUCAGCACCUUGAGUAGAGAAAUGGGUAGAGUAAAACAUCUGUCCUGUCUUUCCUGCCUAUGCAGUGCCACUGAGUAACCAAAGAACAGACGAAAGGGUUUCUCUUUUUGCUUUCUCUUGUGAAUGCACGGAGGUCUAAUGCCUUAAUUAAUGGAACUAGGUAUUGCCCAUCAAUGUAGCUAAUAUCAUUGAAUGAGAUGCAACAAUGGUAUUUUUUCCCAGUACAAGAACACCACCGCUUACUCCUGUGCUGAAAGUCUGGUAAGUAAGACCUGGCAAAAGCUGCACAGGGAUUUGUCAGGUAAAGUAGGGAUCGAGGUCACCUGCCUGGCUGUGGAAGCUCUGAUCCUGGAUCUAUUCUCCUGAUUUUAGAUGCAGUCCACUUUCCUCCCCAAUGCUUUUCCACCUCGUGGUUAUUGUACCUCCCCUUUGCUCUGAAGUCCCAGUGGUGAUAGUUAGUGUUCUAUAAAAGCUGUGAACCAGAAUAACAGUAAUGUGGUUGUACAUAGGAGAAAAAGGGGCUUAUCCCUUUCCCCAGCCAUAUCCUUCCAGCCUGUGUAACCUGCUGAGGUUGCAGUGGGCCCUCUGUUUCCUCUGGCCUUGACAGUCUCUUUUUAUUAACUGGCUUAGGUUUUGUGUUUCUAAGAGAUGUUGAGGCAUCAAUUGUUUCUUCUCCUAUGGAGCAACUGUGAUUUAUUUUAGUGAAAAGUCUCAACUCUAGAAAGAAACCAAAGGAUGUUAGUGUCCCCAUUGCUGAGGAAUAGGCCAUUUUCUUGAAAGUCCGUGAUUAAAUAAGUGUCAUUACAUUUAGAACAAAAUUUAUUUAUUAGAGCAGUUGAAUGCCAUGACCAAGAGCUAUUUCUUGGCUGGAGCUUCUGGGCAGAUGGAGCAGACAAAAACAUGGGGAAGACUCAGGUGCUGACAUUCUCUAGUCAAACUCUUAUGACUUUUUUAUUUGUUCAGAGAAUAUCCUCUUACCUUCACACUUGGGUUUGAAUGGUUGGAGUUGACUAAAAUAUAAAUUGACCAAGCUGUCCUGGUGUAACAGAUGAGUCUGUGUAAACUAGCUGUUAAUAGGUUCUUACUGAAGGGAAUGUUAUGUCAUGGCUGAAAGCACAUGCUUUGGUAAAAACUGUGCUUAAAUCUUAGAUCCAUAAUUUUCUAGCUGUGUAAUCUUAAGAUAAGGUACCAAUCCUGCUUAUUCCUCAGUUUCCCUGCGUAUAAAAUAAAGGUGGUAAAAGCAUUUAUUUCAUGGAUCUUCAUCAGACAAGAAUUAAAUUAGUGAAAAACUAUGAGGCCUUAGAAUACUGCCUCAUAUCCAAUAAGCAGUAAAUCAAUGUUAGUGAUUAUUAGAUCUCUAAUUGCGUUGAACCUGCUCAAAUCAUCUGUUGCCGAGAAUCCUCUCUUGAUUACUUUCUUUCACAACCAUUACUCUUCUCGGUGCCAUAGAAAGGUGAGAAUAUUAGAAACAGACAAUCCUGGCUUUAUUUACAUAUAGUGACAUUUACAAACCAGGUAACUUGGGCAAGAUAUGUAUUAAUAAGUCCUUUAAACACUUUUUCUUAUAUCUGCAACACCAUGGAUCAAAUCACACUGACCUGUUAAGUUGCUGUGAUAAUUAAAUAAGAUAAUGAGAUAGUGUUUAGUAGAAUCUGGGAGACUAGAUUUCAGUAAAAAUGAAUAGCCUCUUCUAUUGGAGAACUUGCAAUCUGCCUUUUUACUUCUGAGGUAUUGACCUUACUUCUAUGGCUUUGCACUGCUGUCCAACAAUCAUUCCACAUUCAAAUGGUUGAUGCUACCUUCUUGAUUCCUUAUGGGCUUCUGAUACAUAGACCAGAAUUCCUGUUGCUUUGAGUAACUUACAGGGACUGCCAAAGGGUAAGAAACUGAUUUCCUUAAUGCAUUCACCAUCCAACAAAUAUUUAUUAGAUGGCAACUGUGUAUCAGCACCACAAGGGAAAGAUAUGAGAUCUAUCAAUCCAGACAGACUUUCUGCUGUAAUGGGUCUUGCAGUCUUAUGAUGGAAAUAUAUUGAAUUCAUAAUUACACAUAUGAUCAUUAAAUCAAUGCAGUGGGAAUUACUAUUUUUGGAAUUUACCCCAGAAAUACUUUUGAUGGAAUAUUCAACCUUAAAUUCUUAAGAACAUAUGGGUUUUAUUAUCUACUGUUUCUGGAAUUAUCAAUUAGAAGAUGUUAUUGGAAGGCUGGUGUUGUCUCACUUAAGAAAAUUAGCUGUUUGAUGAAGUAACAGACUUGCCAUCUCUGGAAGGGUUCACAAUGGUCUCAUGGAAUGUUACUAUUUCCUUGGAUUUUAUAAACCUCAUAGUAUGCAUUUGUAGUGAAUUAAGAAUCUUGCUAUAAACUCAAGGUUUAUGUCUACUCAAAAUUCUUAUGUUGAAAUCUAAUCCUCAGUGUGGAGAUAUUUGAAGAUAGGGCCUUUUGGAGCCGACUAGGUCAUGAAGACGAGGCCCUUGUGAAUGAGAUUAAGGUCCUUAUAGAAAAAAAACUGCAAAUAUCUUCUUCACCCCUUCCACCAUGGAAGGCACAGGAAAAAAAUGGCCAUCUGUGAACAAAGAAGUUGGCCCAUACCAGAUGAUGAAUCUGCCAGCUCCUUAACCUUGCACUUCCCAGUCUCUAAAACUGUGAGAAAUAAAUUUUUGUUGUUUGUAAGCCACCCAGUCUAUGACAUUCUGUUUUAGCAGCCUGGAAGAACUAAAAAGAAAAAAAAUUUAAACUGGACAGCGUCUCUGGAAUACUGAUUCUCCAAACAAAGGAAAUAUGUGCAUUUGGCAGACAGUGUCGCUAAACAGUUACAAUAAGUUGACAGACUUGAUUUUGGCAACUGAAUUCAUUGAUUAUCUGACUCACACUACAGGUUAACAGUUCAGGUAAGUGGGGGUCCUAUUACCUAUGAUAAAAAGCUUGCAGGUGUCUUUGAACCAACAAGUUUUAUGCCUAAAUUGAAUUUUGUCAAAAGUUUAAAAUAAUUUCAUUGUAAAAAUAUAUUCUGACAAAACUUGUAAGGCUCCCUUUCCUUCUCAGAAUAAAGUUCGUUUUGGUUAAUAUUGCACCUAUUGUGAGGCAAUGAGAUCAAGGGAAUUUCCACUGCAUCUAAGAACAGGAUGUGUGUCAGGCAUUGUGAGACCACAUUGGGUGGCUGAGUGGGGCUGAAGCUAUCUUAUCUAUAUUUUUGGGGGGUGCGGCAGUUAAAAGCUUGCUGAAUAAAAAAGAGACAUGACCCCGUGGAACUAGGAAAUUGAGUAAGUGAAAGUGAAGAAGUGUUUUCCCUUUCUUUUAUGCCUACUUCUCUCUGUACUCCUGCUGACUGACUUUCCUAUGACUCAGUGAAGGUGGCAGGAGACAUCUGCCCCACAGCUUUGUGGUUUUGUAGCUUUUAAGUUCCAGACAUCAGGCUGUGCUGUGAUU